rnacentral:lncRNA from 1 species
AAAAGUUAUUAAAAAUUAAAAAUUCUGAUUCAACAUGCAAACGGUGUUAAAAACAUUUGUUUUGCCAACCACCAGAUAAACAGAUGUUAACGAGUGACGUCACGGCGAUCUCUCCUAUAGAGUAAAAAUUUGGGAGAGUGUUUCCCUAAAUAUUUUACUAUGUGCAGCUUAUUUCAUCUUGGAAGUUAACAAUAAUUUACAGAAUGCACCAGGUGAGUUCAUAAAAUUUAUUUAUUUUCGAACAGUAAUCUAGAUUACCUUUAACAAUGUCAAAACUAGAACAAUGGAUUCUAACAGGAAGCAGGUGGUUUAGUUUUCUCCGUGUAAUGCAUUUUUACUUCAUGUCAAUUUGUUCCACUGCAACUAUUAUGCAGCUGCAAUUUCUAAUUUAUCAUGCUUUUAAUUUAUAAGAAGGAAAAUUGGAUAUUCUUUUUAAAUGAAAAUAUCAAAUGGAGCAAAAAAAAAAUAAGGCCAGAAGAGUUAUCUCCACAGGUGGCACUACUGAGUAAACAAUGCUACCAGUCUGCUGACUACAAUAUUACACAGUAUAUUCAGGGAAUAUUUGGUUUAAAUCAAUGUUUUUUACCUGUUAUUAUAUGAAAAUUAUUUUUUAACAGGAAGAAAUGUUUAUGGAUAAUUUAGUUAUUAUUAUAGAUCAUUAUACCCUUUAUUUAAACAGCAGAGCAUUAUAUCGAAAAUUUAGGAAAAAUACACAUACUAAGCAGCUUUUUGUUAUUUAUAGGUACUUUUAUUGUAACUUUUUCUUUUGUUAAUUCUGAUAUCUUUAACUAUAUUUAUCUCUUAGUCUAAUUCUUUUCAAUAUUAAUAUGAUUUUCAAAUUUUCAACAAAAAAAGUAGCAUCUUUAAUAAUGGGAAUUGCAUGUCUAGUCCAAGACUAUUAUAACUUUUUAGAAUUUUUAUUUUUAGAAUUGUGAUUAGAGCCAGUCUAUAAUUAUCUAAGGUCCAAUAUCAUAUGAUAAUAUUAAAAUCUGUAAAUUAGACUGGCAUUUGUCACAAUAACAUAAAUUUUUAAAAAUCACAUUUUUUUCAAUUUUUUGACAAGUUCUUUAUUAUCAGUCUUGCGGCUAGUCUAGUCUAGUCCACCUACUUAUGAUAGUCUUUGUCUAAUAUUUACCCAUUUCAACAAAAUAAACUGGAAUGUACAAGUAAAUAAAAGUUCUAUGUUCAAGGUUAAAUGUAAAGAUUUAGGUUUUCCCUUUAGGAGUCUUACAGAAUAUUGACAUAUAUUAUAUUUGCAAUGUUCAGGGAGAUUAUGUGAGCCUAUCAUACUUUAACUUAUGGAUAAUAUAUCAAACUUUCCAUGACAUUGAAUAAAAGGCUAAUACAUAUACACAUCAUUUUUAUUACAAAAUUUGCAAAGGCGUAUUUUAUUUACUUUCAAGUAACUUUUUUUUAUUACGAGGUGCAGUGAAUAAUGCAUAUAUUAUUCAUAAUUUGUAAUUUUAAAUGUGUGGCAAAAUUUAAAAAUUGUUUUACAUAAUCUUAUGCAAAAUUUGUUUAAUAAGCACUUAUUUAUACUUGUAAAACAGUUUUUACAUAUUGUUACAUGCUAAAUUACAUAAUAUAUAAAUAACUUCUCCAACUGCUAUGAAGCAAAAAAAAAAAAAAAAAAAAUAAAAUAAACAGUACUGUCAACUGAUGAAUGCAUCAGAGACAUUUUUGGCCUCAUUAUUCAUCACAAUGUACAGUUUCAAUUUUAGAUCAUUAUACCCAAUAAUAAACUAUGAAAAAUUAUGGACAUCUAAGUGUUAAAUUAAAUCUAUUUUUCAGGUAUAGCAUCAUAUGUGUAUAUAAAGUAUCAGCACACAUGAAUGAAUUGAGACAUGUUUAGUGACCCAAUGUAUUGUGUUCAAAGGCUCCAUCCAACAGUUCAAAGACAUGUCAUAGCAGUGGAGCAAAUGGUGGCAAAUGAUGGCUUUGUGGUGGUUACUGAAAAACUGUGGCAAUCUACAUUGGUGGUGGCAAACACUGACAGAAAAUUUCUGGACCAGCAGUGACAUCAAGUUGAAAAUAAUGACAUAUUUUACACUGUACUGAAGAUGUAAUUGCGAAAAUUAUUUAAGAAAUAAUAUUAUCUCAUUCAGUGAUUUGUCACUGAAUAAAUCAAUGUUUGGAGUUCAGAUGCGAAGGAAUUAUAUCACGAGGGCCAACAUUACUGAAAGGAUUUUCUUCAAACUUUCGCAAGUGAACAAUCUUGACGGGUAGAUACAACUACAAUUACAUUGCAUCCAAAAUCAGUGGCACAGAAACCGGUAGGGGACUAUGUAAUUGCCUUGCAAUACUUCAGCAGCUUGUUGUUUUAUAUGUGUAACCUGUAAAUGAUUAUUGUUGUGUUUUAUAAAGUUAAGAAGUCCUA